GACGAACGCUGGCGGCGUGCUUAACACAUGCAAGUCGAACGGGCCCGCCCCUGUUUUUGGGGGUGGGUUGAGUGGCGAACGGGUGAGUAUCACGUGAGUAACCUGCCCCCUGCUCCUGGAUAACUGCUUGAAAGGGCGGCUAAUACGGGGUGUGCCGGCUGGUCCGCAUGGGCCUGGUCGGGAUAGUUUCAUCUUCGGGUGUUUCGGUGGGGGAUGGGCUCGCGGCCUAUCAGCUUGUUGGUGGGGUGAUGGCCCACCAAGGCGGUGACGGGUAGCCGGCCUGAGAGGGUGGGCGGCCACACUGGGACUGAGACACGGCCCAGACUCCUGCGGGAGGCAGCAGUGGGGGGUAUUGCACAAUGGGCGGAAGCCUGAUGCAGCGACGUCGCGUGAGGGAUGGAGGCCUUCGGGUUGUGAACCUCUUUCUCCGGUGGUGAGGGCCCUGUCCGUUGCGGCGGGGUUGACGGUAGCCGGGUAUGAAGCGCCGGCUAACUACGUG
rnacentral:rRNA from 1 species